rfam:Aedes albopictus isolate Foshan contig43530, whole genome shotgun sequence.
UGUUCUGUGGCUUAGUUGGUUAAAGAGCCGGACGUGCGAUACGGAGUCGUGGGUUCGAAUCCCACCAAAACAA